rnacentral:lncRNA from 1 species
GAGAUUAUGAUUGACAUCAGGAAAUAAUAUUGCAGUGAGUAAUGUACUACUUUAACUGUCUUACAUGAUCAGAAAUAGAGCUUAGGUGUACUUAAUACAUAAACAAUGCCCUUGUCCCAAGUACAGGCCAAAUGUUAAGAUGACAUGCUGAGCAAAAGGUUUUACAAUAGUUCACAUAGAGAGAAAUAGUGGAAGAAAUGAGUCAUUUCAUGACAUAUUGUAGCUUAGCUAUACCAACCAGAAAAGAAGUCACACUAUAGGAGUCAGCACUUACUUGGUAAGGAGAAUUAUCAUGAGACCUAUUUUUGUAAGUAUUAAUUAGCAGUAGCUCAUUAGCAGUGUGUAGAAGUAAAUACAGUUUUACAUGUAUAAGUAUAAUAACAUAAGAAAAUAAUGCUGAUCAAAACUGGACAACUCUAAGAAUUUUUUUUUUUUUUUUUUUUUUUUUUUUUUUUUUUUACUUUUAAGGCCAAAAACCCUGAGAAAUGCUAUACUAGAGUAAACUGCUUUCUUUGCAGAGUGUUUCAGACUAUAUUAUUACCAAAAGUAAUGUGCAAUUCUGGCUGAAAAUUUAAUACGUUUAGUUUCUAUUGAAGAACUGGGAUAGGUUUGUGAGCUUAAUUAUUAUUGACAAGGGUGAUGAUGAUAAUGGUGAGGAUUAUUCUGCAAAUCUAAAGGUGAUGUUCCUACUCCCCAUCGAUAGCAUGUACACUUUUCAUACUUACCCACCGACAAAAUUUUCAUCCAGCUAUGAUAUAUAACAUGCCUUUGCAAAUUUUCAUUACAAAAUGAACAAUACUUAUCUGAUUAUUUUAGAAAGUUGAAGUGAGGAACAAAG